rnacentral:rRNA from 1 species
AGAUUAAGUUAUUAAGGGCGCACGGUGGAUGCCUUGGCACUAGAAGCCGAUGAAGGACGUUACUAACGACGAUAUGCUUUGGGGAGCUGUAAGUAAGCUUUGAUCCAGAGAUUUCCGAAUGGGGAAACCCAGCAUGAGUUAUGUCAUGUUAUCGAUAUGUGAAUACAUAGCAUAUCAGAAGGCACACCCGGAGAACUGAAACAUCUUAGUACCCGGAGGAAGAGAAAGAAAAUUCGAUUCCCUUAGUAGCGGCGAGCGAAACGGGAAGAGCCCAAACCAACAAGCUUGCUUGUUGGGGUUGUAGGACACUCUAUACGGAGUUACAAAGGACGACAUUAGACGAAUCAUCUGGAAAGAUGAAUCAAAGAAGGUAAUAAUCCUGUAGUCGAAAAUGUUGUCUCUCUUGAGUGGAUCCUGAGUACGACGGAGCACGUGAAAUUCCGUCGGAAUCUGGGAGGACCAUCUCCUAAGGCUAAAUACUCUCUAGUGACCGAUAGUGAACCAGUACCGUGAGGGAAAGGUGAAAAGCACCCCGGAAGGGGAGUGAAAUAGAACCUGAAACCGUGUGCUUACAAGUAGUCAGAGCCCGUUAAUGGGUGAUGGCGUGCCUUUUGUAGAAUGAACCGGCGAGUUACGAUUUGAUGCAAGGUUAAGCAGU